UUGUAUCAGACAAAAAUAUUUAAAAGGAAAAUUCACCUCUAGCAAUUUUUGACAUACAUGUAAUAGUACAGGAUGUUUUGUCAAACUGUAUAGAGCAGUUUUAAAAGUAGAGAAAGAGACGUGUAGAAUAGUAAAGCCAUAAAGAGAGUAGAAUUUGUAUGAGAAUAGACUAUAUUCAGAAAGAUUGCUAAAGAUAAUGUAGGGCAUCUUAAGAGGGGAAAGAGAGAUCAAAUAAGACCAUGCAUGUAGACAAAGACAUUGCGCACUAAUGGAAAGAAAUGAAAUGUUGCCAAAGUGGUAUGCACAGGGUUUCCCACAGGUUUAUAGUAUAGUGUUCACCAUUUUAACAGUGCAUACACCUUUCUCAUUUUUGCUCCUAUAUGACCCUAUCCUACAUUCCUUCCUCUCUGCAUUCCUUUCUACAUCUACACGUGUAAUAUGUUUACAUUUAGCACAUGCAUAUCAAAAAAUGUAUGCUACACACAGGCCUACAUGUAUGUCACUGAUUCAUUAAGUAUAGCUUAUGAAAUAAAGUAAUUGCUACUACGCUUAUAUGCACUGAAUAGCAUUACAGCUUUACUCUUGAUUACAGUAAUCAUUGCUCUUUAAUCUGAUUUACCAUUACACUUCACUGCUGUGCACUUCCCUCUCUUUGCCAUUUUCCUUUCUCUAUCUCUUUAGUGUCUCUGUCUCUCUCAAGCUUAUGCUUCAGUACUGACGUCAUCAAGUAUUUCAUUGAAUUCAAUUCAAGUUUCAAGCUAUGAAGUAUCAAGAGCAAAGGACUAUUAUAUGCAUGACCAAACAUUGUUGCAUUGUUGUGUGUUAUUUAUUUCUUUAAAUUGCCAAAAAAUAUUUUAAAUAA